rnacentral:rRNA from 1 species
AUUGAACGCUGGCGGCAGGCCUAACACAUGCCAGUCGAGCGGAUGACGGGAGCUUGCUCCUGGAUUCAGCGGCGGACGGGUGAGUAAUGCCUAGGAAUCUGCCUGGUAGUGGGGGACAACGUUUCGAAAGGAACGCUAAUACCGCAUACGUCCUACGGGAGAAAGCAGGGGACCUGCGGGUCUUGCGCUAUCAGAUGAUCCUAGGUCGGAUUAGCCUGUUGGUGAGGUAAUGGCUCACCAAGGCGACGAUCCGUAACUGGUCUGAGAGGAUGAUCAGUCACACUGGAACUGAGACACGGUACAGACUCCUACGGGAGGCAGCAGUGGGGAAUAUUGGACAAUGGGAGAAAGCCUGAUCCAGCCAUGCCGCGUGUGUGAAGAAGGUCUUCGGAUUGUAAAGCACUUUAAGUUGGGAGGAAGGGUUGUAGAUUAAUACUCUGCAAUUUUGACGUUACCGACAGAAUAAGCACCGGCUAACUCUGUGCCAGCCGCCGCCGUAACAC